AGCGAACGCUGGCGGCAGGCCUAACACAUGCAAGUCGAACGAACUCUUCGGAGUUAGUGGCGGACGGGUGAGUAACACGUGGGAACGUGCCUUUAGGUUCGGAAUAACUCAGGGAAACUUGUGCUAAUACCGAAUGUGCCCUUAGGGGGAAAGAUUUAUCGCCUUUAGAGCGGCCCGCGUCUGAUUAGCCAGUUGGUGAGGUAACGGCUCACCAAGGCGACGAUCAGUAGCUGGUCUGAGAGGAUGGCCAGCCACACUGGGACUGAGACACGGCCCAGACUCCUACGGGAGGCAGCAGUGGGGAAUCUUGCGCAAUGGGCGAAAGCCUGACGCAGCCAUGCCGCGUGAAUGAUGAAGGUCUUAGGAUUGUAAAAUUCUUUCACCGGGGACGAUAAUGACGGUACCCGGAGAAGAAGCCCCGGCUAACUUCGUGCCAGCCGCCGCAGUAA
rnacentral:rRNA from 1 species